UACAUAUUGCCAAAAAGGAAUCACAAUUUAUAUUUGUUAAUCCUUUUACAAUAUCACGAGCAUACUUUAGUACUCCUCAAAUAGAGAAAAGAGCACAAUUGUUGUCAAAAUGCUUAAUGGAGUGCCAAGAUGCUAAAUAUGUUUUCAUACCCUACAACCCCGACUUUCAUUGGGUCUUGGUAGUGAUUGAGCCAAGGAAAAUGAUAGUCCACUAUCUUGACCCUAUGCAUCACAAACCAUGUGAGGACUUAAAGGAUAUCGUAAACAUUGUCCAAGACAAGAAGGAGGGUUCGAAUGUGGCUACUUUGUUAUGAG